rnacentral:lncRNA from 1 species
GUCCGUGACAAUUUCUGGCCAUGGAGAGCAGGGGAUAAACACCCAAGCAUCUCCAGCUAUGAUUAAAAACAAGAUUCCAUGCCACAUCCCAUGUCCUCUGGAUUCAGUAUGGAAAAAAGAAGGGCCCCUAACCAAAGACUGAAAUGAAAAGCUACAGUUUCUCACUACAAUGAACCAAGUAUGGAAUGGAGAAAGAGAAAAGAAGGCACAGAGAAGGAGGUAAGAAGAUGCAGAGAAUGAGCCCUGAAUAAUACUGAGUUCUUCUUCGGUAUUUAGAUGUACAAAAGAAUUUCAGCCAAAGGGUCUCAGCAGUUGUAGUGACAGUAAGAUCAGGUCCUUGUCCUGCUUAAAUAAAUGAUUGUUGGACCAUCUUUCUUUACUGGCCCAACCCAGUGUAUUCUGAGACUUAUUGAGAGAGGUUAAGCAUUCAAAUACUGUUCUUCCAAGGCAGAAACAAU